rnacentral:lncRNA from 1 species
GAUCCCUACUUACAUACUUACUACAAUUGAUAAAAAGAGGGUUAAUUUGAGUGCUAGUUAAUAUCAUAUCACAUAAUCAUGGCUUUGAAAUCACCCCUAGCCAAGAAGGGUUUAGCCACUCAUGUUCACAGCAAAACAAAAGAAAAAAAAUUAAACAUUGUAAAUAUAGAACGAAUUACACCUAGAAUGCUUCAACAAUCAAGCUUGAACAUCCAAGAGUACUCCCUUCUUUCUUUACUCACGGCACAAGGUUUGGUGUAAGGUUUGGGUGGUGAUUUGUAUGGAAAAAUGGCUGAGAAGAUGAAGGGAUGUGUAUGGAUGAAGGUUAGAUGCGGCAAGUGAUGGUUUGAUGUGUUUUUGGUUGUGUUAAAUGGUGGUGGAAGAUGGAUCAAAAUCUGAACACUUACGGCUGUUACACACACUUCCUUUUAUAGAAGGAGUGCACUGCUUAGGGAAAGAAAAGGGAGUGGAAUGGUGCAGCAAUGAUUCCAUGAAAUGGUGCAGAAAUGAGUGCAUGAAGUGGACAAGGAUGGUGUGCACGGCAUAGGAAAGGAAAGUGGAGUGAUGGUGCAACAAUGAGUGCAAGGUGAUAGGAGCAUAUUUAUGCGACUUAGUUAGCUUGUUUCUUGGCAUUUAUGUUGUUAGUACGUAGUUAUUUUAGUAUUUUAAGCUAUUUUCGUGUGUUUGUAGGUCCAAAGGGUUAAUGUGGCAAAGAAGUGCAUUUUGGAGCAUUUUGGAGCAUUUUUUGGCAUGGAAUGGAUAACAUAUGCUUGGAGCAAAAGGAAUGGACAAAAUUUGAAGUUUGUGCAUCAUCCUCUCCCUAUAAAUAACAAUUUUAGCACACUCAUUUCACCCCACACAUCCAUUCACCUACCACUACAUCCACUCAUUUCACCCAACACAUCCAUUCUCCAAACAUUCAUCCACUACACCCAUUACAUCCACCCACUACACCCAUUACAUCCACUCAUUACCAAAUGUCCACCCACUACACCCAUUACAUCCACUCAUUACCAAACAUUCAUCCACUACACCUAUUACAUCCACUCAUUACCACAACACUCACCCACUACACCCAUUACAUCCACUCAUUACAACUCCAUACACUCCUCUCCCUAGCCCAUAAAUACAUCCACCCUUCACCAUAAUUUGGGGGACCAUCAUCCAAAGACACCACAUCAUCUACACAACUCUCCACCAUUCACCAUAACUCACCUAUAUCCAUCCACCACCACAAGAGACCAUCCAUUCACCACUCACACCUUGGUGCCGCAUAUUUGCAAGGAAGGAGGAUUGCUUAGAGUUGUGCUAGUCAUUCAAUUUGGAUUGCUGGAGCAUUCUAGGUGUAUUCUACUUUGGUUUUCAAUAUUUAAUUUCAAUUGUUUCUGUUUAAUUGCAAGUAUGAGGAACUAAACCUCUUUUGGCUAGAGGAGAAUUCGAAACCAUGAAUAUAUUUGCAAUAUGAAUUGAUUUCUUCCAAUUGUGAUUUGAUAAGUUGUGAUUGCAAUUCAAUUAUCUAUUUUAUUCAUAACGGAUUUGUGUAUGUUUAUUAAGGAUGCAUACUUAGUUUUCAUGCAUGAAUUUGAUGCUAGGAUAUAAAUAAGUUUCACCUAAUCGUUACAAGUUUAUAUUCCUGAAUGGUGAAGGUUGCUUGUCACAAUCGCGUUAAUUGAAUUCUUGGCAAACGUAUCAUGCAUUCAUAGUUACAAUUGCCUCGUCAACGCUUAUGAUUUUCAUGGAACUUAAUGAUCUUUAAUUGUAUCUCUAUUAUGCAUUCAUAUAGGGGACUUUUAGAGAAUGAUUUGGGUUGUUGCAUGCAUUCAUCCAAUUCAAUGAGUAUAGGGGACUUUUAGAGAAUGAUUUGGGUUGUUGCAUGCAUUCAUCCAAUUCAAUGAGUAAAGGAAAAUCUGAGGGUUAAUUUGUGCAUCACGGUUAAUCUGGGGUGUUGAGCAUCAUAGUUUAUUGAAAAGCAAUUGGAGAUUGAUUUGUAUGCAAGUGUGUCAUGUGUGGAGAAAGACCUUCUAGCUAGCUCAUCAUCCAUCCAAAACAACCAAUUUCGUGCAAAUCUGUUUAGUUCUAGUUUCUGUUUUGUUUUACUUUAUUUCCGUCCAAAACCCAAUCCCCCUUUACUUUAGUGUGUCUAAUUAGUUAGAAUCGGUUUUAGUUUGUGUUUUUAAGUGUUUUGAGUUUAUAGAGUCUAGUUAAGUGUUUUUAAGUUUCUUUUUGUAAGUCGGUUUAGUUUAGAUUAGCAAUCCCUCCUAAUCCCCGGUCCAGAACGAUCCCUACUUAUACAGAUACUACAAUUAUCAAAAGAGGGUUUAAUUUGAGUGCUUAACUCUCAUCGCAUCAAAUUUUGGCGUCGUUGCCGGGGAUUAGCAACUUUGCUAAUCCCCCGUUGUUUCUUUUUUAUGUCUUUUUUUUUAGUUACUGACUUUGUUUCUUUUUGUGUCUUUUAUUUUUACUUAUGAUAUUUGCUUUAGUUUUGUUUCCUUGAUUUCAAGUACUAGAGAAGCAAGACAUGGAUUUUGCUACCAUUCAAGCUCAAUUGGCGAAACUUACUUCUCAAUUGUCACAAGAUGCCGAAAGGGCCACAAUGCAAAGUGUCCCUACAGAUGGUGUGUCUUAUGGGCAAGGAUAUCCAACUCAUCAAUGUUCUCAAUUAGCUGCAAAUGAAGAUGCUUGGGGUUAUUAAGGUCAUAGCCAAUCAGGGGACAACAUGUUUUCCAACGCUUACAAUUCAAAUUGGAAAGAUUAUUCAGAUUUCAUGUGGGGAGAACCUCAACAAUUCCAACAAGAUGGGUAUUGGCAGCAAGAAGGGGAAUUCUAUUCAAGACCUAUGCAGCCACCAUAACAAUCUGCCCAAUUCAAUUCAGGUACGUCUUUGGAUAAUGAUAUGUUUAAUAAGUGACUCACCUCUUUGAACCAGGAAGUAGAAAAUGGAAACAAAGAGAUGCAAAAUCAAGCCAAGAAGACGGGAGAAUUGGAUAAGCAAAUUGGGCAGAUUAUGGAGUUCAUGGCAUAAAUUCAAAAGCAAAGUGAACUCUCCAACUCAACUAUUGAAAAUUUGAAGGAAGAUUUUGAAAUCCAUGAUGUUAUCACUUUGGGAAGUGCUACGGAGGUUGGAGGUGAACCCAAGACAUCCAAACCAAGCCAAAACAUGGAUAAAUAGUUGCUGCUCGAAGAAGAGGGGAAUAACAGGGCCACGGCAAGGGAAGAACCACCCUUGCCGCAGCCCCAUAUGCCCUCUAUGCCGUCCACUACAACCAAGGUAAGCCUAAAUUCAAUUUUUCCUGACCCCGUUUCACCAAAUAUCCUUAUUCCUUGCAGGAUCAUGCAAUCCAAGGAAGAAGAGGGUGAGAAAGGCAUCUUUGAAACCUUUUCAAAGACUCAAGAGCAAGAAGUGGAUGGGGAAUGUCUAGAAUUCAUCAAAGAAGAUACACUUGAGACGAAAAUUCCCAAAUAGGUUGGAUUUUAUGACACGGGACAAGUCAUAACUCUCAAAACACCAAAUCUAGCCAAGUCCCAUAUCCCUGCAAUCUUCAAAGAUGUGGCGUUUGUAAUUAAGUUUGUGUUGGAGCAAGCAAGUAAGCCAUCUUCUCCACCUUUGAUUUUAUUAUAUACUAACUUGCUGAUUUUGAUGAUUCAGGCACCUACACUAGAAUUUAAACCAUUGCCGGAUCACGUCAAGUAUCACCGUCCAUUCAAGGAUCAAUUCCAUGCUAUGGACCCUAUCCAAGUUUAGAAGGAAGUUUCGUCCGGCUGGAAGACGUUAAAGCAAGCGCUUCUUGGGAGGCAACCCAUGUAUUCAAAUAAGGAAGAUUUUUGAAUUGCUCCACAAUCAGUGUUGCGUUUCUAAAAACCUUCCCUUUUUCGCAGUUUUAUUUUGCCAUGAUUAUCAUUUUUAUUUGUUGCUUGUUUAAUUGUUUUUGGUGUGGGUUUAUUUUUGAAACACUGACAAUUAUGCAAGGUACUUUUAUAUUCAUAAAAAAGAAAGGAACAUUAAGCAGAUAAAUACAAAAGGGAGCCUUCACAAAGGCUGCUUAGGAGAAGUCUCAGCAGUCGGCGGAGCCCCAGAAGGAGGAGGCAUCGGAGGUUGAUCAUUUGGAGCUUUAUUACGCGGUAUAGCCCCAGAAGACGAAGGCAAAUCCUGUUGGAACAAACCCACAAACCUCUGAUGAUCAAGUAAAAUCUAACCAUCAGAUUCCUGCAUCUGGUCAAUCUUCCUCUUCAUGUUUGUAGCAUAAUUAUGGGCGAGCCUGUGCAGCUAUUUAUUCUCAUGCUUAAGCCCUCUAAUCUCCUGCUUGAGACUCAUCACUUCAGCCGCCAAUGAUUUAACUUGACGGGUUCGGGUAAAUAGGCAUUGGGCCAUAUUAGACACGGAACCUGCACACUGCACACUAAGAGCUAAAGAAUCCUUAACAAUCAACUCAUUAGACCGUUUGGUAAGUAGUCUGUUAUCUUUGGGAGUGACAAGGUUCCUGGCCACCACCGCAGUUGUCAUAUCAUUCUUCAUCACCGAAUCCCCAACGGUAAGGGGACCAAUAAGAGAUAUGAAGGAUGGGCGCCAUAUGUUGUCUGGAAAAGGCGGGACUGCCUCUUCACGAAGGUUUAAGUCAAAACGACUGUCGGAGGGGCCAGACAUUUUCAGAGGUGUUAAAGAAAUAAGAGGUUGGACAAGUCAAGAUCGUAGAAGUGCAAGAAGGGAGUUUUUACAGGCAGAAAUUCAAGUGUGCUUUAAACGUCCUGCGUACCUCUAUAAAAAUCAUCACUCGAUGGGAUUUCAGAGAUCGAAGAGGCGAGCUCAGAAAUCGAAGAGGCCAACUCAAAAAUCAAAGAGGCGCUAGCUUUCUCAAAAGCUAGGCUUGCUCAGAAACCACGACCAAUCUUCUUUUCCAGAUUUGUCCGCACUUGUCACAUGCAACCUCUGCACUUGAUGGGAUUUCAGAGAUCGAAGAGGCAAGCUCAAAAAUUGGAGAAGCAUCUGAUUUUCCAGACGUGUCAGCAUUUGUCACAUGCAGAGUCAGCUUUGCCGAAUUCAAAGGCAGUUUGUCGAAGCGCUUUUCCAGACAUGUCAGCAUCUGUCACAUGCAGAGUCAGCUUUGCAGAAAUCACAGGCAUUUUGUCGAAGCUCCGAUUCCAGAUAUCGAAGAGGCACUUGUUUUUCCAGAAUUGUCAGCACCUGUCACAUGCACACUCAGCCUUGCGGAAAUUACGGGCAAUCUGUUGAAGAUCUCUUGUGAAGUAGAAAGCAAGUGAAGUUUACUAUUAAAUCAUCCAACGGUUGCUGACAAAAGUGAAAGAAUAGUACCGGUUAUUAAUUCCUAUAAAUAUCACCCCUCACCCUCCAUUGCAAGGCAGACAUACAUAACCUUUCUUAUUCUCCGAGAAUGCCUUUCCAAGAAACCCUCUCGAGUCACUAAGUGUUCCUUAUUCCUUGGGGUACCUCUGCAAAAAAACUCAUCCAAAGCAAAAGUAUUUCAUAUCAUGAAGGUUGAAAGCAAGAGUAUCUCAUAUCAUGCUUUCUCCCUGUCCUUCUCCUUGUCGUUGUUUUGGGACAAGGAGAAAGAAAGCAAUCAGCCAGUACUUGGUAUCAAUCUUCCGAUCUGGAACCGACUACCUGGAACCCCUUCCUGAUUGCUUACCUAGCCUUGCUCUCGAGUACUCAUCUUCAUCAUUUUAUGCUUCCUCUUCAUCUACCACAUCUGCUUGGGGAACAGAUAAGGGAAGUGAAAAUGAUACCUCGAAACAUGUGGAGACAAUUUGCCAAUUCAUCCUCAGCUAGGGAUAAGGAGAAAGAAAGCAAGAAGUGGGCACUUGGAAAGGUUGAAGAAAGAAACAGACCAACACCUUUACCUCGUGCCUGCUUGCUGUGCAGAAGAAAUAAGCAGAGAAGAAUACAAACUGCACAAUCAAAUCAACCCAGCAGAAGGAGUCUGAUUUGAAACCAAGGAACUCUGAUAUUCCUCGCUCAGAAUUCCAAACCAGUUCGAGAUCAAAGCUGUGGAAAGUCAACAAGAUCAUCUAUCUCCAAAACUAGAUUUGCGUUCUUAAACUCUACUCUGUCUGUUUUUUGUUUACUUUGCUAUACUUGUCAUGUUUAUUCGUUCUUUGUUUAUUUGCUUGUUUUUGUGUGAGUUUAUGCUUGAAACAUUGAGGACAAUGUUUGAUUUAAGUGUGGGGGGGGGGGGGGGUAACCAUUGUUUUGCAUGAAAUUCGUAGGAGUUUAUCACCCAUUACUUCUAAUGUUGUUCCUUGCUGUUUUAAGUGUUUUUAAGCUGUUUUUGAGUUAUUUUGCAUGAAAUUCGUAGGAGUUUAUCACCCAUUACUUCUAGUGUUGUUCCUUGCUGUUUUAAGUGUUUUUAAGCUGUUUUGGAAUGUUUCAGUGUGUUUUGACAUAAAAAUCCGAAAAUCUCAUAAAAAUUUGAAAAAUUAUUUUGAAAAACCCAAAAACAGUUGUUUUUGUAUGUUUAUUUGUGUCUUAGGGUACCUUCCAACACAAUGAUGAGGAUUUGGUUUUUAAUUACAUGACUGUUAAAGAGAGUUAUAAACAUGGAUGAAAAUUUGAUUUACUCUUUGGUGUAUGCUUGGUUGUGGUUAUAAUUUAUGAAUUCACAUGCAAUCAUAAAGGAAAAAUCAAUUUUUGUAACAUGCUUGAAGGAAGGAACUCAAAUGAAUGCUACAACCUUGUGAGACUUGAGCCUAAACGUUUAUUUGGAGAGUUAAUAAUCUGUGCACUAUUGUUUUCUAAAGUCGUUGCAUGAUCUCAUUAUUCUUUGCUUGGUUGAUACUUAGAAGGCGUUUCAUCAUUUAGUUCCAAAUGCUAGAACUCAUGCCUAUUUCAUUCAAAGCAUGCUAUUGAUUUGCAUAACACAUAUUCAAGAUGAAGUUGUGCAGUGACCACCACAGCCAAAUUGUCAUGCCCUAUUUCAUUAUGUGUUUAAGUUUAACCCCGUUGAGCCUUUUGUAGCCUAUGUUCUUUGUUAACCCACACUAUCCUCACCUAGCCUAGAUUAGGACCAUCCAUACCCUUGUUCUUGAAGCAUAGUAAAACAUAAUUUAGAAGGAAUUCCUUUUGUUGAACUUUUGCAGAAAAACAAGUGUGGGGGAAGUGAUUCUUGUGUGUGUGUGUGUGUGCGCCAAAGUCCUUAAUAAGGCACGGAUAGAAAAGAAAAAGAAAAAAAGAAACAUUCGUGGAAAAUAGAAUGAAAAGAAGAAAAGUUGUGAAAAGAGUGAAAAAGAGUUGAAAAAUAUGUGAAAAAAAACUCUAAAGUGUUGUUUGUUGAAGAAAGGGUCCAAAACAUUGAAUUCGGCCCUAAGUGUUGCUUGAAUCUUCCCUUUGUGAAAAGUUAAUUUCUGCAUUAUUAAGUGAAUUCCAAGUGUCUAUUUCAUUACUUUGCUUGCUAUUGCUUUCAGAACGUUUGUUAUCCUUAUCCUUUCUUUGUUAGCCAUUACCCUUAAACCCCGUUACAACCCUUAACUUUAUCUUGAGUGUUAUGCGUUUCAAUAUGUGGAGUUUGGAAUUGCUUUGAGCAUAUGGUGUCACUGGUUCUUGCAUCUAAGUAGUAGCAUUCCAUUCAUGAGAUCAUAUCUAAAAUGCUCAAUAACUCCAAAAAAUUGCCCUCUUUGUUAUAUAUAUAUGUGAGUGUUCGUGUUCAUGUUUACAUAAAUCUUCUCACAUAUAACUAGUGUAGGGUGUGUAGUCAGAAAAUGUGUGUGAAAAUAGAAAGUAUCUUGUAAGGAAUUGAGUAAAUUCUCUAAGGCAUGUUACUACAUUCAAAGCAUCAUUUUAAUUGGUUAAUUGUGAACUAGUAAGUGGUGACUAUAAGUAUGUGCUCAAGUGUAAGGAUGACCAAAAUCUGUGGGAAUGAUGAUUUUUAACAUGUUAUGUUUCAUUAAAAAUCCCUAAGGCAAUUGUUGGAAGGUCUAGGUUGUGUUUUGUUUGGUUUUGUUUUGUUUGUUUUGUUUUGCUCGAGGACUAGCAAAAGCUAAGUGUGGGGGAAUUUGAUAAGAGCAUAUUUAUGAGACUUAGUUAGCUUGUUUCUUGGCAUUUAUGUUGUUAGUUCGUAGUUAUUUUAGUAUUUUAAGCUAUUUUCGUGUGUUUGUAGGUCCAAAGGGUUAAUGUGGCAAAGAAGUGCAUUUUGGAGCAUUUUUGGGCAUGGAAUGGAUAGCAUAUGCUUGGAGCAAAAGGAAUGGACAAAAUUUAAAGUUUGUGCAUCAUCCUCUCCCUAUAAAUAACCAUUUAGCACACUCAUUUCACCCAACACAUCCAUUCACCUACCACUACAUCCACUCAUUUCACCCAACACAUCCAUUCUCCAAACAUUCAUCCACUACACCCAUUACAUCCACUCCUUACCAAACAUCCACCCACUACACCCAUUACAUCCAUCCACUACACCCAUUACAUCCACUCAUUACCAAACACUCAUCCACUACACCCAUUACAUCCACUCAUUACCAAAUAUCCACCCACUACACCCAUUACAUCCACUCAUUACCAAACACUCACCCACUACACCCAUUACAUCCACUCAUUACCAAACAUUAAUCCACUACACCCAUUACAUCCACUCAUUACAACUCCAUACACUCCUCUCCCUAGCCUAUAAAUACAUCCACCCUUCACCAUAAUUUGGGGGGCCAUCAUCCAAAGACACCACAUCAUCUACACAACUCUCCACCCUUCACCAUAACUCACCUAUAUCCAUCCACCAGCAUAAGAGACCAUCCAUUCACCACUCACACCUUGGUGCCGCAUAUUUGCAAGGAAGGAGGAUUGCUUGGAGUUGUGCUAGUCAUUCAAUUUAGAUUGCUGGAGCAUUCUAGGUGUAUUUUACUUUGGUUUUCAAUGUUUAAUUUCAAUUGUUUCUGUUUAAUUGCAAGUAUGAGGAACUAAACCUCUUUUGGCUAGAGGAGAAUUCGAAACCAUGAAUAUAUUUGCAAUAUGAAUUGAUUUCUUCCAAUUGUGAUUUGAUAAGUUGUGAUUGCAAUUCAAUUAUCUAUUUUAUUCAUAACGGAUUUGUGUAUGUUUAUUAAGGAUGCAUACUUAGUUUUCAUGCAUGAAUUUGAUGCUAGGAUAUAAAUAAGUUUCACCUAAUCGUUACAAGUUUAUAUUCAUGAGUAGUGAAGGUUGUUUGUCACAAUCGCGUUAAUUGAAUUCUUGGCAAACGUAUCAUGCAUUCAUAGUUACAAUUGCCUCGUCAACGCUUAUGAUUUUCAUGGAACUUAAUGAUCUUUAAUUGUAUCUCUAUUAUGCAUUCAUAUAGGGGACUUUAGAGAAUGAUUUGGGUUGUCGCAUGCAUUCAUCCAAUUCAAUGAAUAAAGGAAAAUCUGAGGGUUAAUUUGUGCAUCACGGUUAAUCUGGGGUGUUGAGCAUCAUAGUUUAUUGAAAAGCAAUUGGAGAUUGAUUUUUAUGCAAGUGUGUCAUGUGUGGAGAAAGACCUUCUAGCUAGCCCAUCAUCCAUCCAAAACAACCAAUUUCGUGCAAAUCUGUUUAGUUCUAGUUUCUGUUUUGUUUUACUUUAUUUUCGUCCAAAACCCAUUCCCCCUUUACUUUAGUGUGUCUAAUUAGUUAGAAUCUGUUUUAGUUUGUGUUUUUAAGUGUUUUGAGUUUAAAGAGUCUAGUUAAGUGUUUUUAAGUUUCUUUUUGUAAGUCAGUUUAGUUUAGAUUAGCAAUCCCUCCUAAUCCCCGGUCCAGAACGAUCUCUACUUAUACAUAUACUACAAUUAUCAAAAGAGGGUUUAAUUUGAGUGUUUAACUCUCAUCGCAUCACAAGGAUGGAAGGUUAAAGUGAUGAAAUGAUGCAUGAAAUCUGGUAUAAUGGAGGGGACAAGAAAUGGUGCAGCAAUGAGUGCAUGGAGUGGAGGUUAAAGUGAUAAAAUGAUGCAUGAAAUCUAAUAUGAUGGAGGGAACAAGGAAUGGUGCAUCUAUGAGUGCACGGAAUGGUGUAUGAAAUGAGUGCAUGAAGGGGACAAUGAUGAUUAUGCACGGCAUGGGUUGAAAGGAGAA